rnacentral:rRNA from 1 species
CCUACGGGAGUCAGCAGUGGGGAAUAUUGCGCAAUGGGCGAAAGCCUGACGCAGCGACGCCGCGUGAGGGAUGAAGGUCUUCGGAUCGUAAACCUCCGUCAGCAGGGAAGAACGGUCACUGUGCUAAUCCGUAGUGAAUUGACGGUACCUGCAAAGGAAGCACCGGUUAACUCCGUGCCAGCAGCCGCGGUAACACGGAGGGUGCGAGCGUUAAUCGGAAUUACUGGGCGUAAAGCGCUCGUAGGCGGUAUGUCAAGUCAAGGGUGAAAUCCCUGGGCUCAACGUGGGAACUGCCUUUGAGACUGGCAAUCUGGAGUGUGGGUGAGGUUGGUGGAAUGCCAGGUGUAGGAGUGAAAUCCGUAGAUAUCUGGAGGAACAGCGGUGGCGAAGGCGACUAUCUGGCACAUCACUGACGCUGAGGAGCGAAAGCGUGGGUAGCAAACAGGAUUAGAUACCCUUGUAGUC